GGAAGAUCCAGGCGGUCCUUUGGGGCGGCUCCUCAGUUAGUCCUUUGCCCUCGGGGAGACAGCGAGCCCGAUCGGACUUCCCACUUCCCGGAAAGGCUAAAGAGAAGAGUAAGUAUCCUGGGACGGGGGAGUCCCUUUCCCCGCCCCUCCCCGCCCCGUGGCCGCGGCGUGGCUGAGCCUGGGGCGGAGCUGGCGUCUCCUCGAGCACUGGCGGCGGGACGGCGGCCGCGGCCCAGAUCAGACUGGUGGGUAGACGCUGAGACCCGCACGGCGGGAUCACAGGCCGGAGGACGACCGGCGCGUUGCGGUGUGGCCGCAGGGACAGAGACCCGGAGCUGUCCACUCAGGCGGAGCGGGUCAUCUUCAAGUCCCUGUGCCGAGAGAUCCAGCUGCACCCGCCUGGCCAUGGCACUGUGUCUGAAACAGGUGUUUGCGAAGGACAAGACUUUCCGGCCCCGGAAGCGCUUCGAGCCUGGCACACAGCGCUUUGAGCUAUAUAAGAAGGCACAAGCUUCACUCAAGUCCGGCCUGGACCUUCGGAGUGUGGUGAGGCUGCCGCCUGGGGAGAGCAUCGAUGACUGGAUCGCUGUGCAUGUGGUGGACUUCUUCAACCGUAUCAACCUCAUCUAUGGCACCAUGGCUGAGCACUGCAGUGAGAGCAGCUGCCCAGUCAUGGCUGGUGGGCCCCGCUACGAGUACCGCUGGCAGGACGAGCGUCAGUACCGAAGGCCCGCCAAGCUCUCAGCACCCCGCUAUAUGGCAUUGCUCAUGGACUGGAUCGAGGGUCUCAUCAAUGAUGAGGAUGUCUUUCCUACACGUGUGGGAGGAAACUGAGGCCAAUGGUGGGAUAGCACACUGAAUAGAAAAGGCUUCAGAACUGGAAUUCUGUGUUGUGGGGACCAGAUGCCAUUGUCCAGAUAAGUAGGGCAGGAGUGUGGGGACUAGGCUGGGUUCUCAGAGAGGCAGAGCACAAGCCCCAGGGAACAGUGGGAAGGAAGGAUGUGUAUGGACUAGGGCUUAGUCUGAUCCUGGCUCUUAUUUCCUCUAGCCUACAUCCCUGGGUUUGUGAGCCCUGGGUAAACUUUCCACUAGAUGACUGGAUGAUUCUGUCAUAGUAGAAAUGAGGGUGUAAACCACCAGGAUCUCUGGCCUGGAUGUGGGGCCUGCACAUGCACUGGCUUUCCCAUGCCUCUAGUGGCCUUUCCUGGCCAGGCAGGAUUGAUAUUAUUUAUCUCUAAGAGGUACUGCUGUGCAAAGAGGGUUUGAGUCCUGCCUCCGGUUCGUACUAAGUAAUAAUUAUGGGUCCUCAGGCGGGUGGCUUCACCUUUACACAUUACCUACAUUUUAUCAUAUCUGGAAUGACUAUCAGAGCCAUCAGCACAAUUGUGAAGAGCAGAGGGCAGAGGUACAAAGGGCCCAGCUCACAGCUGGGCUCACAGAGGGAAAGUCCCUUAUAUUAUUGAAUAUCUGAAGGAAUGAAUGCUAUUCUGAAGCAGUUCUUGGAGUGUUGGCAAGCGGGUGGGGGACGGGAGAGUAAUGAGCCAGCUGUGAGAACAGUAAGCAGCAGAACUGAGCAUGCGACUGGAGAGGGCCAUCAGGAUUGGCUCAUAAAAGCUUUGCACCUUGCCAUGCUGUGAUAAUAAGACUUAACCCCGAAGGCCCAUGUUUUUAAAAACUGGCCCACGUACUGACAACCUCCCCACUGGACUGUACAGGAGAAAGUGGUGUGUAUGUAUAUCUGUAUGGGUGCUCAGGUUUCUGAGGAAAGGUUAUGCCAUAAUUUUCACUGUGGUCUGAGGCAGACUGGCCAGUGACAAGCUUGCAAAGCCCUACCUUAAGGAGUGGGAAAUGUGGAAGGUGAUCUGGGAUAGAGCAGGAAGAAGGCAUUUUAAGAUCUGCUGGGGUUAGGGCUCAUGGUGUGAAUGGAUUCCUAGAUUCAGUCCCCAGCACUUCUUCCCACUCAAAAAGAAAACUAUAGGAGAAAGCGAAACUCUUGUUCUGCCUUUCUCUACGGGUCCUGUGCGGAGGAGGGGUGAAGACUGCCUGGGUGGGGGGAGGCAGAGUUUUCUCCCUAGGAUUUUGAUUCCUCUUCCACUCAUCUCCAUCCCUAGGAGUUCCCUUCCCCAAGAACUUCCAGCAGGUCUGCACCAAGAUCCUGACCCGACUCUUCCGAGUCUUUGUCCAUGUCUACAUCCACCACUUUGACAGCAUCCUCAGCAUGGGGGCGGAGGCACAUGUCAACACCUGCUAUAAGCACUUUUACUACUUCAUCCAGGAGUUCAGCCUGGUGGACCAGAGGGAACUGGAGCCACUGAGGGAGAUGACAGAACGGAUCUGUCACUGAGUCCAGAUCUGGAUGCUGUUGCCUGUCAGAUGGACCAUCUGCAGACAGUGUAGCCUGGAGAGGGGACCCUUAGGAGCCUGUGGGUAGAGAAAUCUGAAGGCCUGCUUAAGAGUAGGAACCCUCUAUAGACCCAACACCUCUGGACUUCUCAGAAGUCUGUCUGCAUCCUAGAAUGCAUGAAGAAGGGAGGGUUCCAAGUGGGCCACAGAAGAAAAGGAGUUUAGCCCCUCAUAUUAAGUCCAAGAGUAGGGCAGGCUACCAGGGUUCUGCUCUGAUAUUUCAACCUUACACUCUACCAUGACAGUUCCCAACUCCAUGGGGGAAUAAGGAUGUGGCUGAGUGCUGGCAAGAAAAUUAUAGAGAGUGAGUGCCUGUUCCUGAGUAAGCAAGUGUGUGUGUGUGUGUGUGUGUGUGUGUGUGUGUGUGUGUGUGUGUGAUUGUGGGAUUUGUCUGAGAGAUCUAGGUCCUUCCAGACACAUAGUAGGCUCUCAUUAUGGAUGGAUAGAUGAUGGAUGUAUAGAUAGAUGGAGAGGUUAACUAUAAGUCCAUGACCAUUUUAGGAGUAAUGACAGCUUAGUGACCCAACUCUGACCAUGUGUACAAGUGUACAAAUGUGUGUGUAUAGAUGGAAUUGUACCUCUGAAUCUUCUAGACUACCAUCUUCUAUAAACAUGAGUCCCUGGCAUUUGAGUGGAGGUUAGACAGUGCAGCUUUGCCCUGAGUUCCUUAAACCUCUGACCUAUCACCAUGUGGGCUGAUUUGCCCAGCCAAGGAUGUCUAUGGAUUGUUAGUUCACUCAUCUCUGCCUCUAGCAGGGCCUGAUAUCAUUAAGCCUAUGAGCCUGGCAGUGGUGGCACACACCUUUAAUCUCAGCACUUAGGAGGCAGAGGUAGGUUCGAUCUCUGAGUUCGAGGCCAGCCUGGUCUACAGAGUGAGUUCCAGGACAGCCAGGGCUACAUAGAGAAACCCUGUCUCAAAAAACAAAAAACAAAAAAACAAAAACAAAAACAAAAAAAACAAGCAAACAUAUGGUCAGCCUCUUGAGGGUUGGGAUUGAUCCCUCAGGGUCCCCUGGAUCUUGAACUUGGACACAAGAUACUUCAAUCUCAAACCCAGAAUCUACUGACAUGACUGAAGGCCAGCACAAAAUAGCCCUCCAGACCAGGGAGCCACUGGAACUUGAAUGAAUUGAAGAAUCCAAUUUUCUUCUAUCUCAGGACACUGAGGAUCAUGCAACUGAUGGAGACCUUCCCAUCCUAAAAACACCUGCCUCGGCCCAGCCUCCUGAUACAUUCAGGCUUCUUGGAUUUCCAAGCCACAGCUAUCCAGAGAGGCUAGGAUGCUUAUUCAUUAGCCAUUACUUAAUACCUCCAUGCUGAGCCCUCUGCACAGACUCACAGGCAGGGAAACCGGCAGAAAUAGGUUUCUGCCCUUCCAGAGCCUUUAUCCUGAGAGGCCAGGAGGGCAAGAAGUCACAUAAGAAUAUUGUCUCUGUCUCUCAAUAUGCAUUGGAGGAAAUUGAAACCGGUAAAAAUUCAAAGCUCUUGACUUCUACUCUAGGGCCUGCUGAUUGCAACACCAAGAUGCAUGUGCAAAUAGAGGCUGUCAGACACUCUCCAGGACACAACUGUUUCUGCUUUGAGUAAGGAUUUCUAGCCUGAUGCCACAAAGCCCUACCACACCCUGGCCUGGCUAGAGAUGGCUGCUGAGGCAAACCUCCAAAACCAGGCCCCUUCUUAUGGCUGAGGAACUGCCUGCCUUCCAAAGAAACAGUGGGGCUCUCCGGGGCAGCAGGACCUGGGAUGUCUGCUGGCUCCAGAAAAGUCCCCAAGGGAAACAGGCUGGCCUGCAGCUUUGGCAAUGUCUCAGAACUGAGGACAGUGGGAGAUUCCCCCCACGGUGGGCUGCAGAAUAUAUUCUGAAAUCUAGGCUGUGAAAAGGGACCACAGGGGAGGGGGGAGGAGGGAAAUCUAUUUUUGUGAAAAGAAAGAUUUUGCUAUUUUUUUGUAAAAUAAAAGAUACAAACUAAAGCAA